rnacentral:rRNA from 1 species
AUGUCGACCUCGCGCAGGAGGACCCUCCUCAAGGUCAUCGUCCUGGGCGACAGCGGGGUCGGGAAGACGUCGCUCAUGAACCAAUAUGUUCACAACAAGUUUAGUCAGCAGUACAAAGCUACCAUUGGUGCGGAUUUCGUCACCAAGGAGGUCCUCAUUGAAGACAGGCUUGUCACAUUGCAGAUCUGGGACACGGCCGGGCAGGAGAGAUUCCAGAGUCUUGGUGUCGCAUUCUACAGAGGGGCAGACUGUUGUGUGCUUGUUUAUGAUGUCAAUGUUAACAAGUCAUUUGAUACGCUCAACACAUGGCAUGAUGAGUUCCUCAAUCAGGCUAGCCCCUCAGAUCCCAAAACAUUCCCAUUCAUCCUACUUGGGAACAAGAUUGACGUAGAUGGUGGCAAAAGCAGAGUGGUUUCUGAGAAAAAAGCAAUGGAGUGGUGUUCUUCAAAAGGGAAUAUUCCUUAUUAUGAAACUUCUGCAAAAGAAGACUACAACGUCGAUGAAGCAUUUUUGUCUGUUGCAAAGCUUGCUCUAGAGCAUGAGCGUGAUCAGGACAUCUACUUCCAAACAGUCGCAGAUCCUGUCCCCGAGACUGAACAGAGAGGCGGGUGUGCAUGCUAG